rnacentral:rRNA from 1 species
GAUGAACGCUGGCGGCGUGCCUAAUACAUGCAAGUCGAGCGAACGGACGAGAAGCUUGCUUCUCUGAUGUUAGCGGCGGACGGGUGAGUAACACGUGGAUAACCUACCUAUAAGACUGGGAUAACUUCGGGAAACCGGAGCUAAUACCGGAUAAUAUUUUGAACCGCAUGGUUCAAAAGUGAAAGACGGUCUUGCUGUCACUUAUAGAUGGAUCCGCGCUGCAUUAGCUAGUUGGUAAGGUAACGGCUUACCAAGGCAACGAUGCAUAGCCGACCUGAGAGGGUGAUCGCCCACACUGGAACUGAGACACGGUCCAGACUCCUACGGGAGGCAGCAGUAGGGAAUCUUCCGCAAUGGGCGAAAGCCUGACGGAGCAACGCCGCGUGAGUGAUGAAGGUCUUCGGAUCGUAAAACUCUGUUAUUAGGGAAGAACAUAUGUGUAAGUAACUGUGCGCAUCUUGACGGUACCUAAUCAGAAAGCCACGGCUAACUACGUG